rnacentral:rRNA from 1 species
CACGUAGGGCGCGAGCGUUGUCCGGAAUUAUUGGGCGUAAAGAGCUCGUAGGCGGCCUGUUGCGUCCGCUGUGAAAGCCCGGGGCUUAACCCCGGGUCUGCAGUGGAUACGGGCAGGCUAGAGGUAGGUAGGGGAGAAUGGAAUUCCCAGUGUAGCGGUGAAAUGCGCAGAUAUCGGGAGGAACACCGGUGGCGAAGGCGGCUCACUGGGCCUUACCUGACGCUGAGGCGCGACAGCGUGGGGAGCAAACAGG